rfam:Triticum aestivum genome assembly, contig: Triticum_aestivum_CS42_TGACv1_scaffold_542749_6DS
UUUGUACUUCCUCCAUCUCAAAACUCUUGCCUUGGAUUUGUCUAAAUACGGAUGUAUCUAGUAGAUUUGUCUAAAUACGGAUGUAUAAAGUCAUGUUUUAAUAUUAGAUACAUCCGUAUCUAGACAAAUCCAAGACAAGAAUUUUGGGACGGAGGAAGUACUAA